rnacentral:rRNA from 1 species
UACGAAGGGUGCAAGCGUUACUCGGAAUUACUGGGCGUAAAGCGCGCGCAGGCGGUCUUCCAAGUCAGUGGUGAAAGCCCGGAGCUCAACUCCGGAACUGCCAUUGAAACUGUUAGACUUGAGGACGAGAGAGGUGAGUGGAAUUCCCAGUGUAGAGGUGAAAUUCGUAGAUAUUGGGAAGAACACCGGUGGCGAAGGCGGCUCACUGGCUCGUUUCUGACGCUCAGGCGCGACAGCGUGGGGAUCAAACAGG